UACGUAGGGUGCGAGCGUUAAUCGGAAUUACUGGGCGUAAAGCGUGCGCAGGCGGUUUGUUAAGACAGAUGUGAAAUCCCCGGGCUUAACCUGGGAACUGCAUCCGAUACUGGAUGGCUUGAAUCCGGGAGAGGGAUGCGGAAUUCCGUGGUGUAGCAGUGAAAUGCGUAGAUAUCAGGAGGAACAUCGAUGGCGAAGGCAGCCCCUUGGACCUGUACUGACGCUCAUGCACGAAAGCGUGGGGAGCAAACAGG
rnacentral:rRNA from 1 species